CACAAAUGUACACACUCCGUGUGGACCAGUACAGACCCCCACAUCCUGAUGCUAUAGGGUGAGAUACUCUUGGCUGAGCUGAAGUCACAUCUUGGUUAUUAUCCUUUGACGACUAUGGCCCUUCCAGGACUGGCAUCUCAGGAGGCAAGGUCUUGCUAGCCAUAUGUGUAAUAAGCUUCUCAGGAUCAGAAAGUGUCCUCUCCAGGACCUCUCAGAGAAGCACAGAGGCGAUUUCGGGAGACACUGCCUUGCUCACAUCCAAGG